GAUGAACGCUAGCGACAGGCCUAACACAUGCAAGGUCGAGGGGCAGCACAUGAGUAGCAAUACGAUGGUGGCGACCGGCGCACGGGUGAGUAACACGUAUGCAACCUGCCUUCUACUAUGGGAUAACCCGUUGAAAGACGGACUAAUACCGUAUAAUACAGGGGCUCCGCAUGGAGAUAUUUGUUAAAGAUUUAUUGGUAGAAGAUGGGCAUGCGUAUGAUUAGAUAGUUGGUGAGGUAACGGCUCACCAAGUCAACGAUCAUUAGGGGUUCUGAGAGGAAGGUCCCCCACACUGGUACUGAGACACGGACCAGACUCCUACGGGAGGCAGCAGUGAGGAAUAUUGGUCAAUGGGCGGAAGCCUGAACCAGCCAUCCCGCGUGAAGGAAGACAGCCUUACGGGUUGUAAACUUCUUUUCUGUUUGAAGAAUAAGCCCGUUGAGACGGGUGAUGCCGGUAGGACAGGAAUAAGCAUCGGCUAACUCCGUG
rnacentral:rRNA from 1 species